GACGAACGCUGGCGGCGUGCUUAACACAUGCAAGUCGAACGAAGUGGCGGACGGGUGAGUAACGCGUAAUCAACCUGCCCUUCAGAGGGGGACAACAGUUGGAAACGACUGCUAAUACCGCAUACGGAAGAAGGGGAUUGUGUCGGAUUAGCUGGUUGGAGGGGUAAUGGCCAACCAAGGCGAUGAUCAGUAGCCGGUCUGAGAGGAUGAACGGCCACAUUGGGACUGAGACACGGCCCAGACUCCUACGGGAGGCAGCAGUGGGGAAUCUGCCGCAAUGGAGGAAAGACUGACGGAGCCACGCCGCGUGAGUGAUGACGGCCUUCGGGUUGUAAAGCGCUGUUAAUCGGGACGCGGUACCGGAAUAGAAAGCCACGGCUAACUACGUGCCAGCCGCCGCGGUAAUUC
rnacentral:rRNA from 1 species